rnacentral:rRNA from 1 species
ACGAAGGUCCCGAGCGUUGUUCGGAAUCACUGGGCGUAAAGGGAGCGUAGGCGGCGCGGUAAGUCAGAUGUGAAAUCCCGGGGCUCAACCCCGGAACUGCAUCCGAUACUGCCGUGCUAGAGGAUUGGAGAGGUAGCUGGAAUUCUUGGUGUAGCAGUGAAAUGCGUGGAGAUCAAGAGGAACACUCGUGGCGAAAGCGAGCUACUGGACAAUAUCUGACGCUGAGGCUCGAAGGCCAGGGUAGCGAAAGGG